rnacentral:rRNA from 1 species
UACGUAGGGUGCGAGCGUUAUCCGGAAUUAUUGGGCGUAAAGAGCUCGUAGGCGGUUUGUCGCGUCUGCUGUGAAAACCCGAGGCUCAACCUCGGGCCUGCAGUGGGUACGGGCAGACUAGAGUGCGGUAGGGGAGAUUGGAAUUCCUGGUGUAGCGGUGGAAUGCGCAGAUAUCAGGAGGAACACCAAUGGCGAAGGCAGAUCUCUGGGCCGUAACUGACGCUGAGACGCGAAAGCGUGGGGAGCGAACAGG